rnacentral:pre_miRNA from 1 species
GGGCACUAUUUCAAUAUCACGCUAUUUCGAAAUAAAACUCCCUGUGUAACCACGUUAUUUUGAGAGAAAACCCUGCUCUUGAAAUAACUGGUAAACCUCAUUGUAUGAGGAAUAACAGUUAUUUUGAGAGAAGGGUUUUCUCUCAAAAUAACGUGGUUACACAGGGCAUUUUAUUUCAAAAUAGCGCAAUUUUGAAAUAGCACCA